rnacentral:misc_RNA from 1 species
GAUGAAGAACGUAGCAAAAUGCGAUAAGUAAUGUGAAUUGCAGAAUUCAGUGAAUCAUCGAAUCUUUGAACGCACAUUGCGCCCGCUGGUAUUCCGUCGGGCAUGCCUGUUCGAGCGUCAUUUCAACCCUCAAGCCCCCGGGUUUGGUGUUGGGGAUCGGCUCUGCCCUUCUGGGCGGUGCCGCCCCCGAAAUACAUUGGCGGUCUCGCUGCAGCCUCCAUUGCGUAGUAGCUAACACCUCGCAACUGGAACGCGGCGCGGCCAUGCCGUAAAACCCCAACUUCUGAAUGUUGACCUCGGAUCAGGUAGGAAUACCCGCUGAACUUAAGCAUAUCAAUAAGCGGAGGA